CCAAGUUGGGCGAUUGCCGGCCUGGUCGCGGGCCCGGGGAGAAUAGGAAAUCGGGUGUAAAUCCCGAGCGGUCCCGCCGCUGUGAACGGGGAGUGAUUCCGGUAAAUGCCACUGGCCGCCAGGCGGCCGGGAAGGCCCGGAAAAGCGAUGAGCCGUGAGCCAGAAGGCCUGCCCCCUGGUUAGCCGCCGC
rnacentral:ncRNA from 2 species